AAUUAAUUAAAAAACUAAAAAUAUCAUAACAAUAGUUCAUCUCAUCCUAACAAUGUAUAAAACUAGCCUAACAUAUUGAAACUACAAGAAAUCAUAUAUAAGUGGGAAAACAUAACCCAUAUUUUUAAUAAAUUGAGAAGAUGAAGAUAAAUCUUGAAAUCUUGAACCUCUUCAAUGGUUUCUUAAUGAAUCUUUACUUGCUCUCUCUCUUCUUUGUCAAAUAUCAAGUUUGAAUUUUCAUUUGAUUGAAUUCUUGCGAGUCACAUUCAAUUCUUUCACAAAAACAAUGAAUUUUCCUCAUUUGAUGAUGAUAAUUGAUGAAUAUUAGAAUAUAUUGUAUAUAAGAGAUAUGUAUGAGAGCUCUCUUCAUGUAUUCUCCUGUUGGGUAUCUGUAGGGAUCGAAAAAUGAUGAAAAAUCAUGCGCCAAAUCAUUUGUGCAGCCUCACUAUUUUAAAUCAAGAUUGAUGUGUUAAGCGUAGGAAGGCCUAUCAAAGUAAGUCGGCAGUUGGUCAAGCACUAAAACUAUUGCUAACUACUGUUAUCUAAAGACGAGUCAUUAUAUAUAGUAUUAGACGUAUUCCAUCUAACCAUGAUUCUACCCGAUUAAGAUUUGCUUAACUCUCAAAGUGCUUAGUAGUAGAACUACAAAUAAAAUGCAUAAAACUAAUAAAAU
rnacentral:lncRNA from 1 species